CUAAAGUGUAAAGAUAGCGUCAUGUUCUAAAGAGACUUUUCUGAUAGACUAUUGGUACAUUUCAGUAGGCUAAGAAUUCAGAAGAUUGGUGCCACAGAUGUCAGAGACUGACACCAGUUGAUGGAAAAGAACAUGGCACCCUUGUGUUCUAAUAAGUGGUUAACUUGUGCUUCAGUACUGACAAGCUACAAAUGACUGUGCUGGGAACCGAGGACAAAAAGACCGAGAGCAGACGAGUUGGCUCCAGCAGACCGAAGAAGUCUUCAGCUGUCUGUGAUUCCCUAACAAAUCUGUUUACCUUUUAACAUCUUCCUUCUUCCUAGUGGUCACCUACUUGUGAUGAAACGAGCCUUGGAAGAAUCAUCAUGUCUUAAGGUCAUGUGAGGCAACAUCUUGAUUGGAAAAGCCUUCCAUAAGUGCAUCUGCUAUUGCAUUCACAAAAUAUUCCAACCCAAAUCUGUCACGGCAAUAUCUGGAUUUUCCCCAGAGCUUCCCAGACCACCAGAGCUCAGCUCAGCAACUCCAGAAUUAAAUCAUUA
rnacentral:lncRNA from 1 species